GACGAACGCUGGCGGCGUGCUUAACACAUGCAAGUCGAACGGAAAGGCCCUGCUUUUGUGGGGUGCUCGAGUGGCGAACGGGUGAGUAACACGUGAGUAACCUGCCCUUGACUUUGGGAUAACUUCAGGAAACUGGGGCUAAUACCGGAUAGGAGCUCCUGCUGCAUGGUGGGGGGUGGAAAGUUUCGGCGGUUGGGGAUGGACUCGCGGCUUAUCAGCUUGUUGGUGGGGUAGUGGCUUACCAAGGCUUUGACGGGUAGCCGGCCUGGGAGGGUGACCGGCCACAUUGGGACUGAGAUACGGCCCAGACUCCUACGGGAGGCAGCAGUGGGGAAUAUUGCACAAUGGGCGGAAGCCUGAUGCAGCAACGCCGCGUGCGGGAUGACGGCCUUCGGGUUGUAAACCGCUUCCGCCUGUGACGAAGCGUGAGUGACGGUAAUGGGUAAAGAAGCACCGGCUAACUACGUG
rnacentral:rRNA from 1 species